AUGCAGUGCAGACGGCGGAGAGGCUGCCCUGCGUUUGCAGUCCUGGGAGGGGUGGAGGAGAGCUGCUGCCUUGAUUGUGAGCUGCCCGUUGGUGAUGGAAGCGUUGCAGCAGUGAUGCCACAGAUACCCAGCAGUGACACAGCAACCCAUCGCCAUGGAGAGCUGGGAUGGGGCCGUGCAGAGCGGGGAACUGGGGCAAAGUUGAGAAGACUUACCCCCUCCUCCCGCACUGGGAAACAAACACAGGCAUCUCUGUCCAAAAAUCUGCAGCUCAGGCUCAUCUCUAGCCGAGACAGGAGUGAUGUGAGAUUCCCCAAGCUGCAGCAGGCUGGACACAGCAGAUGGACUCCAGUUAACGAAGGGACCUUCAGGAUAAGCUGUCAGGUUCUAGUGGAAUCCAUCUUCUUCGUGAAGUGCACUGUGAAAGUUAUCAAGUGA
rnacentral:lncRNA from 1 species